rnacentral:rRNA from 1 species
GAUGAACGCUGGCGGCGUGCCUAAUACAUGCAAGUCGAGCGAACAGACGAGGAGCUUGCUCCUCUGACGUUAGCGGCGGACGGGUGAGUAACACGUGGAUAACCUACCUAUAAGACUGGGAUAACUUCAGGAAACCGGAGCUAAUACCGGAUAACAUGUUGAACCGCAUGGUUCAACAGUGAAAGACGGUCUUGCUGUCACUUAUAGAUGGAUCCGCGCCGCAUUAGCUAGUUGGUAAGGUAACGGCUUACCAAGGCAACGAUGCGUAGCCGACCUGAGGGGGUGAUCGGCCACACUGGAACUGAGACACGGUCCAGACUCCUACGGGAGGCAGCAGUAGGGAAUCUUCCGCAAUGGGCGAAAGCCUGACGGAGCAACGCCGCGUGAGUGAAGAAGGUCUUCGGAUCGUAAAACUCUGUUAUUAGGGAAGAACAAAUGUGUAAGUAACUAUGCACGUCUUGACGGUACCUAAUCAGAAAGCCACGGCUAACUACGUG